CGAUGAUCCAGUUUUGAUGUAGUUGUGACCGAACCUGUCACAGGACAGAUCCUGGUCUGGUUUGAUCCAGUUCAAGCUUCAAGGGGAAAAAGAGCGAGAGCUGGAGACUGCCUUCCUUCCUGCAGUGCAUUUAUCGUGGCCGCAGCAGCCAGAGAAAAGGCCGCGUAACAGAAGCUGCAAACGUUCACGAAGAUGCAUUUUUCAGCUGCAGAGAGUGACACUUCCCCUCUUGAGGAGUGUGCAGUGGUGUAGGACUCUCUUGGUCAAACGUUUGUCAACAUCCUUCAGAUCUUUCACUUGGAGUCAAAACAUGCUGAGUCCAGUGGGUAAUUAUGCCCUGGGAAGCGCUGCUGAACUCUGCUGCGUUUUGCAGGAGUUCCUGGUGGCAGAAUUUCUCUUCUUCUAAACAAUGAAUUGGAGGCAUCAUCCCCAUCUUAGUGAUGUUUUCUGCAAAUGCAGCUGGAAGAAGCGUUC
rnacentral:lncRNA from 1 species